CCUGAUUUUCUUGUGCUCUCUAGGCCUCUUCUGUAUCAAUCUCUUUUUAGGGUUUUUCCCUCUCUAUAUCUCUUUCUCUAUCUCUUCCUCUCUCAUCUAUGGCUGCGGAGGUAGAGUACAGAUGUUUCGUCGGAGGUCUCGCCUGGGCCACCGACGGCCAGUCCCUAGAAAGGGCAUUCUCUCAGUUUGGUGAAGUCGUCGACUCGAAGAUCAUCAACGAUCGCGAGACUGGCAGAUCGAGGGGUUUUGGAUUCGUGACAUUCAAGGAUGAGCAAUCGAUGAAGGACGCCAUCGAGGGGAUGAACGGCCAGGAUCUUGACGGGCGUAACAUAACCGUCAACGAGGCUCAGUCUCGCGGAAGCGGCGGCGGCGGCGGCGGCGGAGGGUUCCGCAGUGGUGGUGGAGGUGGCCGACGUGAAGGUGGUGGCCGUCGUGAAGGCGGUGGGUACGGUGGUGGCGGUGGGUACGGCGGUGGUGGUGGCCGGUGGACGUGACCGUGGUGACGGUGGUGGGUCCCGCUACUCGAGGGGGGGCGGUGAUUCCGAUGGAAGCUGGAGGUAUUAGGUUUUAGAGGGUUAUAUGGAUUUCGAGUGUGUACUCUAAUAUUUGCUGAUCGUUGGCUUAGAUCUGUAAUGGGUUAGGGUUUUAAUGUUUUCGUUUUGUUACUUUUGGUACUGUCUUGUUUUGAUCGCCUGCUAGCUAUUUAUCCUUGCUGUUUAGAUUUCCCGAAUAUGAAAAAGAAGUUACAAUGAAUGAAAAAUGAAUUUAAACUUCAAUUU